rnacentral:rRNA from 1 species
GACGAACGCUGGCGGCGUGCUUAACACAUGCAAGUCGAACGAUGAAGCCCAGCUUUUGUGGUGUGCUCGAGUGGCGCACGGGUGUGUCACACGUGUAUAAUCUGCCCUUGACUGGGGUAUAACUUCAGGAAUCUGUCGCUAAUCCCGGAUAGGCGCUCCCCCUGCAUGGUGGGGUUUGAAGAGUUUCGGCGGUUGGGGAUGGACGCGCGGCUUAUCAGCUUGUUGGUGGGGUAGGGGCUCACCAAGGCUUCGACGGGUAGCCGGCCUGAGAGGGUGACCGGCCACAUUGGGACUGAGACACGGCCCAGACUCCUACGGGAGGCAGCAGUGGGGAAUAUUGCACAAUGGGCGCAAGCCUGAUGCAGCGACGCCGCGUGCGGGAUGACGGCCUUCGGGUUGUAAACCUCUUUCGGUAGGGAAGAAGCGAGAGUGACGGUACCUGGAGAAGAAGCACCGGCUAACUACGUG